CGUCGGGCGAGUACUCGAGGUUGAAGACUGCCCCGUGGGUGCGGGUGCUGAGGUACACCGAAUCCGCGGGAUGGAUGGAACCAUAGAGGAUGGAGAGGCUGAGGCAGUUGUGGAAGAUACAGCAGACAGCACUCUGCAUGCCGUUGGAAAAGGACCGACGAGUGAGGCCGUGGCAGUUCAGAGGAGGAAGAGCCCCUCAUAAGUGAAGGCAGUUCACAGGUGACACGAUGCUCACUUUUAUAACACUUGGGACAGGACCCAUGCAUCGCCAAGAAGAAUCGGAACGACAAGAAGAGAGCAAACAGGUCUUCUCAGUCGAUGGACCUUCUCUAGCCCAAAAAACCAAUGGCAUUGGAAGUAAAGAGCUCCUAUCACAUAAGCUUAUUUUAAAAAUAAACAAAAAGCAAACACUCAUAAAAUGCUUAAUACGUGCCUAAUAUUAUCCUGGCUGCUUUAUCUAUAUAUUAACUCAAGAUAUGUUGGUACUGUUCUUGUUCUCAUUUUAGAAAUGAAAAAACAUUUCUCCUUCUCUGUGCCAUCUCAAAAUAGGCACAGGAAAGAUAAGUCACAAGAGUCUACAAGUCACAGAGUAGGAUUCAAACCCAGGCAGUCUACCUCCCAAGUCCUCGCUCAUAAUCUUUGUGUUGUGUUGUAUAUACAAGCUCAUCGACAAGGACAACUACUUUUUUUUUAAAUCCCUAAAUCCAAACUAACCUAUAAAUGUCAGGCCUUGUCCUCCUAUUCCCCUAAACACUUUCAAAAUUUUCAUUCUGAACCUUGGAUGACCAGAACACUAUUUAAAAAGAACAACUUCCAUUAGUACUUCACCAGGCUUGUUGGUAGGAGCUCUAUAGGUAUUGUCCUCUGAACUUUAAAUGAAAUGUCACCACUGCACAUGCCUCCACUGGGGCACACUGGACCUCAGCUACCAUGAAUGAGUUCAAGAUCAGUACUGUCACAUCUUUUUCAAGAGAAGCUGGAAAUUGAAGUUCAAAAUGAGGCUUGCUGUCUGCUUGAUGAUGCAGCAAGAAAUAGGACAGAGGACUACGUACCUAGCACAGCAAGGAAGCACCUCCUGUGAUUGUGGGUAAAAUCAGAAAACACAGCCACCUCCAUCGUCCAGUUUCACAGGGUACUAAGCCCCAAGUGCUGGACUUUUCACCUGGGACAGCCACCUCUGAACUGUGGACACAUCUCUGUGGAAGUGGGGGGGCCAGCUAUGUCCUUGAUUCUGUGAUUCUAUGUCCUUGACUCUUUGCCCUGCUUGUUUGCCAGUUUGAUACUACACUGAAAUAAAAACAACCUAAAGGUGAUAGUAUUCUUUCCAAUCUUUGAACUCAUACUGGGUGUUCUGGAUUAGCUCAUCAAAAUUUUCAAGUAAAACUGCCUGAUUAUUAAAUGUUGAUUCAACUGUUUUUCCCAUGAGCACAGAUGUGGCAGGACUGGUGGCCACUGGGGCUCUAUUUUGGCUACAUGCAAGUUCACUAUAGUCGUCUGCCAACUUUUAUGUUUGGAAUCUUCCAUAACAAAGCAAAUUUAAAAUGAUAAUUAUUUUUUAAAAACCUGUGGGACAAAUACAUUUUAA